CCCCAGACUCCUACGGGAGGCAGCAGUGGGGAAUAUUGCACAAUGGGCGAAAGCCUGAUGCAGCAACGCCGCGUGAGCGAUGAAGGCCUUCGGGUCGUAAAGCUCUCUCAGCAGGAAAGAAAAUGACGGUACCUGACUAAGAAGCCCCGGCUAACUACGUGCCAGCAGCCGCGGUAAUACGUAGGGGGCAAGCGUUAUCCGGAUUUACUGGGUGUAAAGGGAGCGUAGACGGUGAAGCAAGUCUGAAGUGAAAGGCGGGGGCUCAACCCCCGGACUGCUUUGGAAACUGUUUGACUGGAGUGCAGGAGAGGUAAGUGGAAUUCCUAGUGUAGCGGUGAAAUGCGUAGAUAUUAGGAGGAACACCAGUGGCGAAGGCGGCUUACUGGACUGUAACUGACGUUGAGGCUCGAAAGCGUGGGGAGCAAACAGGAUUAGAUACCCCCGUAA
rnacentral:rRNA from 1 species